GUGCUUUUGUGAGCGAGGCCCGAUGGGGGCAAAGACAGAGGAAGCACCGCAGGCCUUCCCGCUGGCUGCCAUGGGGACAGCUGCAGGGAUUCUGGCGGGCAUGCUGAGAAGGGACUGCCAUGGCAGCCAAAGAACGUUCAGUGUCGACACUGACAGCUUUCAUCCCUUUAUUUAGUUCAUUUUAACUCAAUCUGAUCUGCCAGCUCCUCUUUUCCAUGAAAGAAGGGAAUGCCAACUUGGGUCUAGAGGGGGUACCGCUGAGCUGCACAGCGCGCGAGAAAAGAAAAGGACCACAUUUUUCAAGGGGCUGAUGUUCUGCGUUUCACUCAAGGUCACUUAGAAGCAUUGAGAGCUGCCAUCCUUGCCCAGUUUGCCACCUCCUUGGCCCUCGGGGAGGAGGCGAGCCUCUCAAGGGACCCAGUGGUUUGGUUGAAGUAAAUCCAAGUCACCAGAGGCCGGAUAUGACCCCAAAGGGAAGUUUCAUCAACUUUCAUUUCCAUUCACUCCUGGGCCACUGGCCUGCCGGGGAUACUGCUGAGCCGUCAGAAAUGAGUCAGGAAAACUUUGAAAAGUGUGGGUUUCCCCCGCAGAGCCCAGAACACCCCAGAGACGUCGCCAACACUAAGAUGGGCACAGGAGCAACCGUUCCAAGAUGGUACCUUUCUGGAAUCCACGUCCUGGGAGACAUUACACCUUCUGUCAAGAACACCUGAGGUGGCAACUUAGUCCCCGCUCUCCCAGCAUCCAGCCCAAAGCCACCAGGCCCUGGAGAUGUAGGAGGCAGAUAAAGAUGGCAAUGGAGUGAAGGGCGGGGCUGUGCAAGGGUUGCCCGGGGCAACAACGCCAGCACCCAGCAGUGAAGCAGGCCAGGUAGGGUCUCUGGAUUUAGGGUCUCUGGAGGGGCACUGAGGGAAUGAUGCCUUAAGAUGAAAUCCAGUUUUCUUACCACUUUGGUUGCCUGGGGUGGCCAAGAAAAUUGGCUGUGUUUUACUGCCAUGGGCUAGGGGUUAAGGCAGUGGCAGGGAAGGAAAGUGGGGAUCCUGACCUGGCUUAGAGGCUCCCCACCUGGGUGGAGAGAAGCAACUGGCAGGAGAAGGGGAGCCAGAGAGCCGCCUUCUGCCUAUAAAUGCUUUCGGGGCUGAGAGAGCAUGGGUGUCCCCUUGCCAAGGAGACCAAUAUCCCUGCCAGCUGGAUCUGAUCUCUUAGGUCACGUUUCAGCUGCACAGAGGGCUCCAUGCAAUGUGUGCCAGAGUCAGAAACACCACAGGUGUUGUUCAGCCAAAUGCUUUCCCAUGCAAUAUAUGUCCCCACCUGGGUGCCAAGGUGGCUGCGCUGGGCAGGAUCCUGGAGGCCAUAGCAGGCCUUAGGUGGGGAAAGGAAACUAUUCAAAAGGACAUUUCUGCAGGAUGACCCCUGAGCUGACUGCGUCCAGGAGAGAGGCAGAGUUUUCCAGAAUCACAGUCUGGUAUCUACCACGGAGCUCUGGGGUUAGACUGGGUGUCACGGUUACUCGGGUCCAAAAUGUCAUUCACUAGGAAAGAAGGGGUCAGGCUCCAGAUAAAAGCCCAGCUCUCAGAAGCCUCCCCUGCUCCAGAAAUUCCUGAAGGGAGAGCAGGUCCUGAAGGGAGGAGGCUGAUGGAGAUAGUCACAAGAACACCAGAGAAUCCACCUGCCUAAUAUAGAGACCCCAAGUCCCCCAAGUGCAAACUGGCU
rnacentral:lncRNA from 1 species